GACGAACGCUGGCGGCGUGCCUAAUACAUGCAAGUCGAACGCAGUGGGGACGGGUGAGUAACACGUGGGUAACCUCCCAUCAGAGGGGAUAACACUUGGAAACAGGUGCUAAACCGAUACUGAUGGAUGGACCCGCGGUGCAUUAGCUAGUUGGGGAGGUAACGGCUCACCAAGGCCACGAUGCCUAGGCGGCCUUGAGAGGGGACCGGCCAACCUGGGAAUGGGACACGGCCCAGACUCCAACGGGAGGCAGCAGGAGGGAAUCUGCGGCAAUGGAGGAAAGUCUGACCCGGCAACGCCGCGGGAGUGAAGAAGGUUUUCGGAUCGUAAAACUCUGUUGUUGGAGAAGCGGUAUCUAACCAGAAAGCCACGGCUAACUACGUGCCAGCAGCCGCGGUAAUAC
rnacentral:rRNA from 1 species